UACGUAGGUGGCAAGCGUUGUCCGGAUUUACUGGGCGUAAAGAGCGCGCAGGCGGUCGUUCAAGUCGAGUGUGAAAGCCCCCGGCUCAACUGGGGAGGGUCACUUGAUACUGAUCGACUCGAAGGCAGGAGAGGGAAGCGGAAUUCCCGGUGUAGUGGUGAAAUGCGUAGAUAUCGGGAGGAACACCAGUGGCGAAGGCGGCUUCCUGGCCUGUUCUUGACGCUGAGGCGCGAAAGCUAGGGGAGCAAACGGG
rnacentral:rRNA from 1 species